UAUCUUUGGGGCAGGGUGAAAUUCCCGACCGGCGGUAACAGUCCGCGAGCGCAAGCUGACAUUGGUGAAAUUCCAAGACCGACAGUAAAGUCUGGAUGGUAAAAGAUA
rnacentral:ncRNA from 1 species